UUAUACGAGAGACCCAAGUUGAUGAAAAACGGCGUAAAGCGUGGUUAAGGAAAUAAAAAGAAUAGGGCCGAACAACCUCAAAGCAGUUAUACGCAUUCGAGGUCACGAAGCACAGUCACGAAAGUGGCCCUACUAAAUCCCUGAUUCCACGAAAGCCAUAAAACAAACUGGGAUUAGAUACCCCACUAUGUAUGGUCGUUAACAUUGAUGGUUUUAUACCCAAACCAUCCGCCUGGGG
rnacentral:rRNA from 1 species